rnacentral:rRNA from 1 species
AUGGCGCUCGGGCACACGCGCCUCGACGUCCGGCGGCAGCAGCACGCCUCAUCCUCCUGCUGCUCCGCCCCCGGCGUCGCCGCCUUCGUCGGGCUCUGCCUGGUUGCCGUCUGGAUGGCCUCCUCCGCGCUCGUCACCCCAGCCGACUUCUCCCCGUUCCAGGCCCCCUUGUGGCGCCGCGCCGCCGCUCCGGCCGAGGCGAACGCGCCCCCCGCCGCCGUCAGAGAAGAAGAGACCGCCGCCGACGACCAGGAGCCUCCUGUGGCAGACCGGCAGCAGGCGGGUUCCACGGAGAAAGCAAAGGGGGCCGAUGAAAAACAGAGCGCGGCAGAGAAGCCGGAGGAGAAGCCCGAUGAGAAACCAAAGGUAAAGAAGGUGGAGGCCGAGGUGUUCCCCGACGCCAAGGACGCCGAGCUCCUCAAUCAGACGGCGACGGAGCCGGGCUCGUGGCGCACCCAGGCCGCGGAGUCCAACACGGAGACCAACGAGCGAACGAACGCGUCUUCGAGUGUCCCGGCGGCGAGCCACAGCUGGAAGCUCUGCGACGUCGACGCCGGAGCCGACUACAUCCCGUGCCUCGACAACGUGGAGGCCAUCAGGAAGCUCCGGAGCGACAAGCACUACGAGCACCGGGAGCGGCAUUGCCCCGAGGAGGCCCCGACCUGCCUCGUCCCGCUGCCGCCGGGCUACCGGAGUCCCAUAAGGUGGCCGGAGAGCAGAGACCAGAUAUGGUAUAGCAAUGUUCCUCAUACCAAGCUGGUGGAGUACAAGGGGCACCAGAACUGGGUGAAUGUCUCCGGGGAGCACCUGGUCUUUCCGGGAGGCGGAACUCAGUUCAAGCGUGGUGCUCUUCAUUACAUUGAUUUCAUUCAGGAGGCAAAGAAAGAUGUGGCAUGGGGAAAACGGACCCGUGUAGUUUUGGACGUUGGCUGCGGAGUUGCUAGCUUUGGAGGAUAUCUAUUUGACAGAGAUGUGCUUACGAUGUCGUUUGCACCUAAAGAUGAGCAUGAAGCUCAGGUGCAGUUUGCCCUCGAGAGAGGAAUCCCUGCUAUAUCAGCGGUUAUGGGUACCAAAAGGCUCCCAUUUCCUGGCGGGGUCUUUGAUGCUGUUCAUUGCGCACGCUGUAGGGUACCAUGGCAUAUUGAAGGCGGUAAGCUCUUGCUAGAACUGAAUAGACUGUUACGGCCUGGUGGUUACUUUGUGUGGUCUGCUACUCCUGUAUACCAGAAACUGCCGGAAGAUGUCGAGAUAUGGGAAGCAAUGUCUGUUCUAACAAGGUCAAUGUGCUGGAAUCUGGUCAAUAAAGUAAAGGAUAGGGUAAAUCGAGUGGGAGCAGCGAUUUUCCAAAAACCAAUGGACAAUCGAUGCUAUGAUAGAAGAUCUGCUGCAAACCCUCCACUGUGUGGAGAGUCUGAUAAUCCUGAUGCUGCCUGGAAUGUUUCAUUGCAGUCUUGUAUGCAUAGAUUGCCCAGAGACCCCACCAUGCGUGGUUUACGCUGGCCAGAGGAAUGGCCAUUGAGGGUGGAAAGACCACCUUACUGGCUGAAAAGCUCUGAGACUGGAGUAUAUGGAAAGCCUGCUCCUGAAGAUUUUCAAGCGGACUACGAGCACUGGAAGCGGGUGAUAAGCAAUUCGUAUAUGGAAGGCCUGGGUAUUGAUUGGUCUUCUGUCAGAAACGUUAUGGACAUGAAAGCUGUAUACGGAGGGUUUGCAGCAGCUUUACGAAAUAUGAAGGUGUGGGUCAUGAAUGUAGUUCCAAUUGAUUCGCCUGACACACUCCCAAUCAUAUACGAGCGCGGGCUGUUUGGACUCUACCAUGACUGGUGCGAGUCGUUUAGCACCUACCCGAGAAGCUACGAUCUUGUCCACGCGAACCAUCUCUUCUCCAAGAUUAAGAAGAGGUGUCAACUGUUGGGUGUGAUUGUGGAGGUGGACCGGAUCGUGAGGCCGGAAGGGAGGCUGAUCGUCAGGGACGAUAUGGAGACGAUACGGGAGGUGGAGUCGAUCGUCAAGUCGCUGCACUGGGAGGUACGGCUGUCGUACUCCCAGGAGAAUGAAGGCCUUCUGUUUGUGCAGAAGACCAUGUGGCGACCAAAUACUUCUUCGAGUUGA